UACGGAGGGGGCUAGCGUUGUUCGGAAUUACUGGGCGUAAAGCGCGCGCAGGCGGCUAACCAAGUCAGUGGUGAAAGCCCGGAGCUCAACUCCGGAACUGCCAUUGAAACUGUUUAGCUUGAGGAUGAGAGAGGUGAGUGGAAUUCCCAGUGUAGAGGUGAAAUUCGUAGAUAUUGGGAAGAACACCGGUGGCGAAGGCGGCUCACUGGCUCAUUACUGACGCUCAGGCGCGAUAGCGUGGGGAUCAAACAGG
rnacentral:rRNA from 1 species